AUGCAAGUUUUGAAAUCAAUCAAACAAUUAGAUUAAUAUAUAUGAAGGUUUUUAUUGAUUGAGGUCUUAAAAAUUGGAAUUUGAAGAAUAGUGAAUAUUUCUAAGAUCUUGAGAAAUUUAUUGAUUGCAUUAGAAUGAAUUUUUUUUGUAUGGAUAUUAGAAAUUAUUUUUAUUGUUUAUAAGAAAUUUGAGAGAAAUUCAACUAUUCAAUAAAAGAAAUAUUAGUACUAAAAGUUUAGUAUUAAUGUUGAAUAGAAGGCCGCUCAACAUUUGUUUGGAUUAUCUUACAUUUCUUUCAAUUAAUAAGUGUAAUUGGUUUCAUCUUUUUUGUAGUUGUUUCUAAAUAAGACAUCAAGAAGUGUGCAAAUUUUGAAUUGAUAUUGACGGUUUGAUGAUUAGUUGUUGAGGUAUCAUUUUGCUAUAGAUUUUUAAAGAAUUUCUUUAAGAUCUAAGUUUUGAUUAAGAUUUGGUUUAGAGUUUGGUCUAGGAUUUGAUUAGGAUUAGGAUUUGCUUAAGAUUUGUGUUAAAAUUUGUUUAGGUUAUUUCUAAGAUUUAGGAUUUCAUUAGAAUUUCAUUAAAAUUUGACAUAGGAUUUGGUUAAGAUUUAAUUAGAAUUUCAAUUAAAGUUACAUUAGAA
rnacentral:lncRNA from 1 species